rnacentral:tRNA from 2 species
GGCGGGAUAGCUCAGACGGUUAGAGCGCACGACUCAUAAUCGUGAGGUCGCGGGUUCGAUCCCCGCUCCCGCUACCG